rnacentral:rRNA from 1 species
UGAGGAAUAUUGGUCAAUGGACGAGAGUCUGAACCAGCCAAGUAGCGUGCAGGAUGACGGCCCUAUGGGUUGUAAACUGCUUUUGUUUGGGAAUAAUCGACAUUACGUGUAAUGUUUUGCAUGUACCAUUCGAAUAAGGACCGGCUAAUUCCGUGCCAGCAGCCGCGGUAAUACGGAAGGUCCAGGCGUUAUCCGGAUUUAUUGGGUUUAAAGGGAGUGUAGGCGGUUGGUUAAGCGUGUUGUGAAAUGUAGAUGCUCAACAUCUGACUUGCAGCGCGAACUGGCUGACUUGAGUACACAAAACGUAGGCGGAAUUCAUGGUGUAGCGGUGAAAUGCUUAGAUAUCAUGAAGAACUCCGAUUGCGAAGGCAGCUUACGGGAGUGUUACUGACGCUUAAGCUCGAAGGUGCGGGUAUCGAACAGG